ensembl:lncRNA
UUUUGGUUAGUCAACUGUUCAAGGAAGAUGGCUUAUUGUACAAUUACUCUGAAUUUCUCAGGAGAUAUAAUGUACCAAUUACGCCUAGAGAAUUUUCUGUGGUAUUUGAUGCUAUCCCGUCUGGUCUGUGCAUGUUAUUCAGGUGCUCCUACAGCUCUCCUCCCUUAUCAUUUAUUCCUCCUGAUGUGUGUCAGUCUUCUCUUGCAAAAUUUCAUAUACACAAGAGCAAAUUCACCAAUAGAAAGCCUGAACUCUUUCUACUGAAGAAAGAAUUUGAACAAUAUAUGAUGACUAUCUCUUUGUCAAAAAACACAAAGGCUCUAAGGACUAUUGACAUCUGUAAAUCCCUAAAACUGUUUACAUGAAAUGUUUUUUUUUUUUUGUUUUGUUUUUUGUUUUGUUUUUUCUGUUUUGCUUUGUUCUCGCUAUAUGUUAUAUCUGUAUUUUGUUCUUAAAUUUGCUGUCUGUAUUUUGUAAGAAUUUAAUAAAGCUUUAUAUAAAAAUAAAAAAAAUAAAAAAAUAAAAAAAAAAGAGUCCACACACUUCAGUUUGGGACACCCUUCGUCGCGCCACUGUGACGCAUUCGCACUUCAGAUGCGCACUUCGGAGUCCGUGCACUUAACUUUGGGACACAGCUAUUGAAGGACAGAUUAGGACCUUUGAGCCAAUCAUGUUGCUCAGUGCACAUCACCCCAUAACACAUGCACAUCUCAUGCACAUUACAUGGUAGAUGUCUGUUAACUCUCAAAACUAACCGUCCCUGGUACACAGUUUCGCCUUAAAUGUUACAUAAAAUAACUCAAUGUCCCUAUGGACUAUAUACUACCUUGAUCGUUGUAUGUUUAAAAAGAUACUUAAAUGAGAUUAAUGCAAUCAAUGCAAGAUUAACAAUAUUAAAAAUUUCCAUAACACUCCUCCCUUUUGAUCAUUAUUGAUCACUUAUAUUGAUUAAUGUAAAUACAAUUUUUAAACACAUUACCCUUAUAGUUUACAUCAAGCAUGUAAAUUCACUAGGAUUUAAUCCCCGUCACUCUCAUAAGGGUGAAAAAAAGCAUUUGCAUUGUUUUUUUAUGGAACAUAGUCAUUCCAAACAUAUAAUCAAGCUAUAAAGAAAACAAACAACUCUUAUAUUUGAUUAUAGGUAAAAAUCUUAGUGUGAUAUUCAAACAGAAGAAACUUUCUUAACUUUCCUUCUGGUUGCAUCAUCUCGUAACACGGACAAUGACCUACUUUAGACCGUAUGUAUUCUAUAGCAUGUAAUGCUUACUUACUACUUUUCUUCUGUCGAGCUGCUGCAGGUGUCAGAUUUUAGUCUCUCAUUGUCUCCAUCAUUUUCAUCAGAAAUACUCACAUUAUUCUUACUUUCACACAAAACAUUGUACAUUGCAAUCUAAAGUACAACUAAAGAUUUCAUGGUUGAAUUAACAGUACUUCUAAUCAUUCCCACUACAAAAGGCCACAUACACAACAAAAAUAAAAUCAUGGCCAGUGCUGAGAUGGCAAUUAACCCAAUAUAUUCUCCAGAACAAGUCAGUCUUGCAGUGCAGUCAGCCUCAGUCCUCGUAGUUUCUUCUUGACGCCUUCCCUCAUCACCUUAGUAGUGUUCAUGAAACUUAUCAGUUCAUACCUUGCGAUUUCGACUUAGAUUUGAAGAAGGCUACCCCAAGCACCAGAACUACAGCAUGGAAGAACUUCUCCGCUCCGUUCCACACCCUGUGUUCCCUCAGAACAUAAUUGUCUCUUGCCAAACUUGAUUGUUCUGCUUGGUCUUUCAGUGAGGACACUUUCUUUUCGAUCUCUCUCUUGAUUCUUGUCAGACGAUUUCUGGUGUUGUUUUGAAGGUGUUCAAGUGUCCACACAGCCAAUAUCAGUCUUCCAGCACACUGGUACAUUCGUUGUCAGGCACAUAGGCAGCUGUUGUGGUAGGCCUCUGUGUAUAAAAGUGAUGUUAAGCAGACACCCCAUGCACACGUUUCUUGUUGCGUUACUUGUUGAGUUGGUCAUGUAGUUUUUCUGCAGUGGUUGGAUGGUAUGUUUCCUAACAGCUCAAGUCCCUUGCUGUCAUCCGUUGGCCCGGACUGACCUUAGAUCACUCCCACACAGUGAUGUUGCUGCGUUGUUCAGUUCCCAUACACCACUGUAUGUUUGUUCACCUCAGUUAGCCAGAUGUCCCCCUUGGCACGGGGCAGCUGGUCAAUCACUUUACUGAUCUGUCGUCUUCUGGUGGCACUGGAACUGUCCUGCAGUGACUUGCAUGCGUAGCUCUCUCUGCCACUUUAACCGCAGUGUGUGUUUAUCAGCAAGACCUGAUAUCAUGCAAGACUCCUUCCGCUGGCUUGGGCAGAGCAUCCUUGACCUGCUGAGAUAUCUGAGAGAGAACAAGAAACAACUAUCGACAGUAGUUUAGCAUGUCAUCUUCACACAAAGCUGUUGAGGGUAAUGGUCAUGGUUCUGGUCCUGCUCCAAUGGAAGCUGGCCUGCCAAACCAAAUUUCAAAUGGACUCAAUUUAUACUUUGUUCUUUUUCUUGUUCGCAUAUAAAUUAACACAAUGGGGAGUGCUUUUACCCAAGACAGUCCUGUCUGCUUACAACACUUCAUUAAUUUGUUC